rnacentral:rRNA from 1 species
AGUGAACGCUGGCGGUAGGCCUAACACAUGCAAGUCGAACGGCAGCACAGUAAGAGCUUCCUCUUACGGGUGGCGAGUGGCGGACGGGUGAGGAAUGCCUCGGAAUCUACUUUUUAGUGGGGGAUAACGUAGGGAAACUUACGCUAAUACCGCAUCCGACCUACGGGUGAAAGCAGGGGAUCUUCGGCCCUUGCGCGAUUGACUGCGCCGAUGUCGGAUUAGCUAGUUGGCGGGGUAAAGGCCCACCAAGGCGACGAUCCGUAGCUGGUCUGAGAGGAUGAUCAGCCACACUGGAACUGAGACACGGUCCAGACUCCUACGGGAGGCAGCAGUGGGGAAUAUGGGACAAUGGGCGCAAGCCUGAUCCAGCCAGACCGCGUGGGUGAAGAAGGCCUUCGGGUUGUAAAGCCCUUUUGUUGGGAAAGAAAAGCAGCAGGUUAAUACCCCGCUGUUCUGACGGUACCCAAAGAAGAAGCACCGGCUAACUUCGUG